rnacentral:rRNA from 1 species
GGAGGUCCCGCCUGCCCUGUGAUUUUUAAAUUUAACGGCCGCGGUAUUUUGACCGUGCAAAGGUAGCGCAAUCACUUGUCUUUUAAAUGAAGACCUGUAUGAACGGCACAACGAGGGCUUAGCUGUCUCCCCCUUUCAAUCAAUGAAAUUGAUCUCCCCGUGCAGAAGCGGGGGAUUUAGUUAUAAGACGAGAAGACCCUGUGGGAGCUUUAAACACACGGGGGGACACCACCACAUUGGCCUUAUGAACAGGCUGAACUAUUUGCUCACCCCCCUGCUGUUUUUGGUUGGGGCGACCACGGGGGAAAACUUAGCCCCCGCGAGGAACAAAAGCACUAGCUUUUAAAGAGAUGAACCUCAGUUCUACAACACAGAACAUCUGACCACUAGAUCCGGCAACGCCGAUCAACGAACCGAGUUACCCCAGGGAUAACAGCGCAAUCCUCUUCCAGG